UACGGAGGGGGCUAGCAUUGUUCGGAAUUACUGGGCGUAAAGCGCACGUAGGCGGCUUUGUAAGUUAGAGGUGAAAGCCCAGGGCUUAACCCUGGAAUUGCCUUUAAGACUGCAUCGCUAGAAUCGUGGAGAGGUGAGUGGAAUUCCGAGUGUAGAGGUGAAAUUCGUAGAUAUUCGGAAGAACACCAGUGGCGAAGGCGACUCACUGGACACGUAUUGACGCUGAGGUGCGAAAGCGUGGGGAGCAAACAGG
rnacentral:rRNA from 1 species